ACCACAAGAACGCGUGGAGCAUGUGGCUUAAUUUGACUCAACGCGGGAAAUCUUACCGGGUCCGGACACACUGAGGAUUGACAGGCAAUAUCUCAUGGUUAUUAACCCGGUUAUUACAUUUUGUUUAAUCGGUUAUUAAGCAUCGAGUGUUAAAUAUGCUAUCCUUUCAUGAUUAUGUGAUAGGUGGUGCAUGGCCGUUCUUAGUUCGUGGAGUGAUCUGUCUGCUUAAUUGCGUUUCACUAAGGGCCC
rnacentral:rRNA from 1 species